rnacentral:rRNA from 1 species
UACAGAGGGUGCGAGCGUUAAUCGGAAUUACUGGGCGUAAAGCGUGCGUAGACGGUAGCGUAAGUCAGAUGUGAAAGCCCCGGGCUCAACCUGGGAAUUGCAUUUGAGACUGCUCUGCUCGGGUGCGGAAGAGGGAAGCGGAAUUUCCGGUGUAGCGGUGAAAUGCGUAGAUAUCGGAAGGAACACCAGUGGCGAAAGCGGCUUCCUGGUCCGACA